UACGGAGGGUGCAAGCGUUGCUCGGAAUCACUGGGCGUAAAGCGACCGCAGGCGGCCUGACAAGUCGGAUGUGAAAGCCCUGGGCUCAACUCAGGAAUUGCAUUCGAAACUGGCAGGCUCGAGUACGGGAGAGGGGGGUGGAAUUCCUGGUGUAGGGGUGAAAUGCGCAGAUAUCAGGAGGAACACCAAUGGCGAAGGCAGCUCGCUGGGACGGUACUGACGCUGAGACGCGAAAGCGUGGGGAGCAAACAGG
rnacentral:rRNA from 1 species